ensembl:lncRNA
GGGGAGCGCAGUGAGGAUUAUAGUCGCCGCUAAAAGGAAAUAGCAAUAUGUGAUUGAAAAUAUAUUUUCUGAUAUAAUUUAGUUAGACGACCUCCCCCUCGUUUAAAAAAAAUGUUUUAUUAUUGUGCAAUUUUCUAUGUCUAUUCGGAGAGAAGCAUGUCCUUCGAGACAAAUUCAUUUCAUCCUCACCUGGAAUUACAAUGGAAAAUGUAGGCAUGAUCAGUUAUUUUCCGGGAAUCACAAUUAAGAUCCAAUGUUGGUGAAUGGACUACUAUACAUCCGGAAACAUGGUGACGGGCCUGACGACCGCAUCUAAAAAUGGACCAUCAUCUUAUUGCCCUUUGAAAUACAAUCAGCGACACGCAGUGUCAAUUUAGAAUAAGUAAAGACGUAGAAGUUUGAAGAAAACCUGGAUUACGUCAUCAUCACUGUCUUGGCCAGGUGGAACAACUAAGGGGACGUUCCCACCCCCCUCUUUAGAUCCAGAGGCUGUUUGCUAAUUACAACGGACUUUCUACAUCCCUUUUUUCUUUUCUCAGUAUUUUUUUUUUGUGUGUGGGGGGGGAGGGUGGGGGGAGGAUUUUGGACCUUAAUUUGCACUGACUGUUUUUCUUUCUUCCCUGUUUUGUUUCGAGCGAGACCUACACCAGUGCCAUACGAACUGUGCAAGGAAAAAGAAAAAUAACGACAACAACGAAACUACCAAAGUCACGCUUACCAUUCAUACCUCAUGUUUCACUUAGUGUUAUCUUGAGUUCACACAGUGUUCAGAUUCAAUAUCAGAAUAGUCGUUUUUUCAUUUGUCUCCCUAACACAUAAAAUACACAUUUAAUAUCCUUAUUACAUCAAAAUAGCAUUGAAGCUCAAAGCGUACAUAAAGUUAUAACAUUCUAUCAAUCAAAAAGUAGUUAGAACCACAUUGUGGAGAGUUAGCCUAAUGCUUGUAGUUAAAUGUACAUUUACUGUCCUUCGUCAGUUAAAAAAAAAUCGAAUAAUUUUCUGCUCCUAAAAUCUUUCAGAUUUGGAUGAAUAGUGCAUUAUUGGUUCGUUCAACUAAUAUUUAAUGGUGACCUGUAUUUGUUUGUAGUACAUUAGUUGGAGAGUGGUAAGCAGUGAUAACUCUGAAAGCUCAGCCCCAGAUCGACCAAUCGAACUAGGCGUUGACUGACUGAAGGGCAAGACAAGUCACAUAUAACAUGAUACAUUGACCUCGCUGCUAUUUUGUCGCUACUUUGCUUAUCUCCCCCAAUUUAUAUACCUCACAUUUGUCGUCUUCUUCUCUCUCUCAGCAUCUCUCUCUAGCAUUCUCCCAUACAGCACAUGUAGGCACACCACAUUUAACAAUCUGAAAAUCCCCUGUUUCCUUUUAACCCGGAUGAUAUUCAAACCCUUGGUGUUCCUCUUUUCUUCCUCUCGAAACAUGCAACACAGCCUCCCUCAGUGUAUUGAUGGUGUCUGUCAAAGGAGAUAACACUUCAACACAUAAGCCGUAUCACACCAGCCAUACUAUGACCCAACAUUUAGAUCUACCAUCUUACCCUGUUUUAAGACUUCUUUGCAUCAACAACAUCUCGUAUAGUCACUUUCAAAUAUAGGCGCGCUCAUACAUUCAGGGAUACAGUGAAGAGCUUAUAUGACACUAGGAUACCAUUUCCCACAUUCAUUUUCAGAAGAAAAUAGCUUAGAAAGCUAUUCAUGUUAGAUUGUUCUACUUUUUUCGUUUAGGUCACAAUGACCAUGUAUCUGUAGUCAUCAGCCCAGGUUAGGUUAGGCUGUAAAGGGACCAUAUCAUAGUGUACAUUUUCUCCACAUAUUCUGCAUUGAACCAAUGAAUCCAGACAUUUUCAUGUCUGUUCUGUGGGCGGAGCCGCGCUGUCCUGCCAGAACCGGGCCCAAGCCCACCUUCGUUCUAUUCUGUUGGGCCGAGUUAAACUCAGAGCAGAGACACUCCCGCAAGGGGAUCAAACGCACAUAGAUCCUUAGCCUCCUUUCGUCCCUCCACCUCCCAUUCACCAGUCCCUCCUUCCCUCUCUCACCUUUUCCUAAUUCACCAACAAACAGAAAUUACUAUCUCUGGCUGCCUUUAUUCAUUUGGUCCAUCACUCGCUGUGUUAUAUCUUAGUUUUCCCUUUCUCACUAAGUUAAGCGUGAAUUGUGUGGUCCCAGUUUGUCUCAACUAUAUAUGCUGCUUGGUACAUUUCUUCAGUACCCAUUUUCACCGGACCCUUGUUGACAAGCUUUUGUGAGUGGUCCUUUUCUCAGCGCAAAC